UAUCAUUUCAAUGUAAUACAACAUAAAUAUUUGGAUUUCUGAUCACUGUCUUUCCAAUAAUAACAGCUUUCUUCUGCUAAUAUUCAGCUGGUUACAUGUGCCAAUCAUAUGGUGAAUUCUUGCUGAAAUGCAUCAUUGUAUUAUUAUGCAUAUAAUGGUGUAUAAUGGCUGACGAAAAGGAUGGCCAUCUAGUUCAUCUAGCCUAUACGGCCUUGAUUUUACUGUAAUAAUGUCAUUGUCAUUGGGAAUUAUUAGUCCUCGGUUCUCCUCACCGUCCAAGGGCUAUGUCUUUGCCUUCCUCUUCUUUCCUUUUGAAUCAAGUCCUAGUCACUGGCAGAUCCAAAUACCUUUUAUUCUGUCUGUCAACCUUUCUUUGAAAAAUGUAACACAAUUAUACUUGCAAACUCUUGAUCUUUUAACUAGUUGACAAAUAGGCUUAUGUCUUUUAGAUAACAUCUAAUUACGAUCAUAUUUUUAAAAGUCACGACUUUAAAACAAACAGGAAGGUUUUUGAAGUUAGUUUCCCUUUCAAGCGCUCGCCUCCCUCUCUCAGUUUGUGUGAGAAACACAGUAUGAAUGAAGAUCACGGUAUUUUGCUAUGAUUGGCUGUACGUGGUUCGAGUCACGCUGAAGACCACGCCCCACAUUGUAUAUUAUGUCUAUGGUUCUUCUCGCUUGCGUCAGUGAGAGUUCCGCGGCGGCGGGAGUAGCACACGUUAGUGACUGCAGCGAUGCAUCCGAAGACCAGUUCUAAGACAAUAUUAGCAUGUAUUUUUGCUCUUGCGAGGUGUUCGUCUGCGGCAUGUAAAGAAUGCCCUGCAAAUCAGGAAAUUUCGUGUGAGAGCCUGCGCUCGUCCCAUGGAUACACAUACAGGGUGCCACCGGGAACCCUAUCCUCUGAAAACUGCGAACAAGGAUGGUACUAUCAGAAUGGGACGUUUAUUGUCGACUCAACUCCGAAUGCCGAUGGAAAGAGGUUAGCGGUUGUAGUGGCUGUCACGCCUCAGAAUCUUACACUGAGUGUCUGCGAAAACCUGCAGUGGCAACUUGACUGUGGCAAGUGUAGCUGUGUUAUCAAUUAUACAACAGCACGUGACCCCCUGCCAAGAAAUAAUACAACAUGGAAUGAAAAAGAUGGCAACGAUUUACCUGCCUGGGGGAUUGCUAUUAUCGUAAUCAUGGUUGUUGGAGCUGUUUCUGCCUUUAUUUUUUUCAUUGGAAAAAGGGCUUGUGAAAAAACAAAACCUGUACUUUAG
ensembl:lncRNA